rnacentral:lncRNA from 1 species
ACCAUAUUCAGAGACUCCCCAUAAAUUUUGGUGAUUUUUGGAUAUAUCCAUAAAUUAUUAAAAUUCCUAGAAGUUUUAUUCAUUAAAUAAAAGAGGCAAUUUUUAAAUAUAUGCAAACUAUCAGAAAAUAAAAUCUACUAUUUUACCUGUGCUCUACUUAUUUCAUAGAACCUAUACACAAAUUUUCAUCAUUUUUGGAAUAGCACACAAUUUUCUACACAAUUUCAAAAAUCAAGCAUUUGUAAUCAAAAAAAGAAAAAGAAAAAGCAACACUAUGCUGCGCAGGCGGCCCGCUUGGUCACGGCCCAAGUCGGCCCGGGAGCUCUCCCGCGUCGCGCGCGGGCGCUGCCCUCCGCACAUGGCCACUGACGGGCGGGUCCCGCCCGUCAGAGGCUUCUUCUUCCUCCCACCACCGCUCCGGUGAGCUCAGGCUCCGCGCCGGUGAGCUCCCGGCCUCCGCGGUGGGGUGGGCUAGCACCUCCGGCCUCUCGCGCAACCCCUAGGACACACGGGACAACCUCUACUCCCUCCUAACCCUCC